GAUGAACGCUGGCGGCGUGCCUAAUACAUGCAAGUCGAGCGAACAGACGAGGAGCUUGCUCCUCUGACGUUAGCGGCGGACGGGUGAGUAACACGUGGAUAACCUACCUAUAAGACUGGGAUAACUUCGGGAAACCGGAGCUAAUACCGGAUAAUAUAUUGAACCGCAUGGUUCAAUAGUGAAAGACGGUUUUGCUGUCACUUAUAGAUGGAUCCGCGCCGCAUUAGCUAGUUGGUAAGGUAACGGCUUACCAAGGCGACGAUGCGUAGCCGACCUGAGAGGGGGAUCGGCCCACCUGGACUGGGAAACGGGUCCAGCCCCCCAGGGGGGGCCGAAGGGGGGAAUUUUCCGCAAUGGGCGAAACCCUGCGGGAGCAACCCCGGGGGAGUGAUGAAGGUUUUCGGUUCGUAAACCUUUUUUUUUAGGGAAGAAAAAAUGGUUAAGUACCUAUGCCCGUUUUGGCGGUACCUAACCAGAAAGCCCCGGCUACCUCCGU
rnacentral:rRNA from 1 species